rnacentral:tRNA from 1 species
GGAGCUGCAGCUCAGAGGAAAAGAUUCUGCUUUGCAUGUGGAAAGGCCCAAGUUCAAUCCCUGGCAUCUCCA